rnacentral:rRNA from 1 species
AGGACGAACGCUUGCGACGUGCCUAAGAAAUGCAAGUCGAACGGGGGAGCAAUCCCUAGUGGCGAACGGUCGCGUAACACGUGGGCAACCUGCCCUGAAGCGGGGGACAACGUUCCGAAAGGGACGCUAAUACCGCAUGUGAAUGGGAAUGGCAUCAUUCUUACUUCAAAGCCUUCGGGCACUUCAGGAUGGGCCCGCGGCCUAUCAGCUAGUUGGUGAGGUAACGGCCCACCAAGGCUUCGACGGGUAGCUGGUCUGAGAGGACGAUCAGCCGGAUUGGGACUGAGAUACGGCCCAGACUCCUACGGGGGGCAGCAAUUAGGAAUCUUGCACAAUGGGCGAAAGCCUGAUGCAGCGACGUCGCGUGGAGGAUGAAAUCUUUCGGGAUGUAAACUCCUUUUCCAGGUAAGAACAAUGACGGUACCUGGAGAAUAAGCCCGGCUAACUACGCGCCAGCAGCCGC